rnacentral:rRNA from 1 species
GCGUAAGAGCUCGUAGGCGGUUUGUCGCGUCUGCCGUGAAAGUCCGGGGCUCAACUCCGGAUCUGCGGUGGGUACGGGCAGACUAGAGUGAUGUAGGGGAGACUGGAAUUCCUGGUGUAGCGGUGAAAUGCGCAGAUAUCAGGAGGAACACCGAUGGCGAAGGCAGGUCUCUGGGCAUUAACUGACGCUGAGGAGCGAAAGCAUGGGGAGCGAACAGGAUUAGAUACCCUGGUAGUCCAUGCCGUAAACGUUGGGCACUAGGUGUGGGGGACAUUCCACGUUUUCCGCGCCGUAGCUAACGCAUUAAGUGCCCCGCCUGGGGAGUACGGCCGCAAGGCUAAAACUCAAAGGAAUUGACGGGGGCCCGCACAAGCGGCGGAGCAUGCGGAUUAAUUCGAUGCAACGCGAAGAACCUUACCAAGGCUUGACAUGGACCGGACCGCCGCAGAAAUGUGGUUUCCCCUUUGGGGCUGGUUUACAGGUGGUGCAUGGUUGUCGUCAGCUCGUGUCGUGAGAUGUUGGGUUAAGUCCCGCAACGAGCGCAACCCUCGUUCUAUGUUGCCAGCACGUGAUGGUGGGGACUCAUAGGAGACUGCCGGGGUCAACUCGGAGGAAGGUGGGGACGACGUCAAAUCAUCAUGCCCCUUAUGUCUUGGGCUUCACGCAUGCUA